GUGAAUACCUUGGCUUAACCAAGGAAGGGCAUUUGAAACUGCUUGGCUUGAGUACGGGAGGGGGAAGCGGAAUUCCCGGUGUAGAGGUGAAAUUCGUAGAUAUCGGGAGGAACACCGGUGGCGAAGGCGGCUUUCUGGACCGAUACUGACGCUGAGACGCGAAAGCGUGGGGAGCAAACAGGAUUAGAUACCCUGGUAGUCCACGCCCUAAACGUUGGGCACUAGGUGUUGUGGGUAUUGACCCCUUCAGUGCCAAGGGCGAAUUCCACAGUGGAUA
rnacentral:rRNA from 1 species